rnacentral:rRNA from 1 species
CACGUAGGGGCCAAGCGUUGUCCGGAUUUAUUGGGCGUAAAGAGCUCGUAGGCGGUUCGACAAGUCGGGUGUGAAAACUCCGGGCUCAACCCGGAGACGCCACCCGAUACUGUCGUGACUGGAGUCCGGUAGGGGAGUGGGGAAUUCCUGGUGUAGCGGUGAAAUGCGCAGAUAUCAGGAGGAACACCGGUGGCGAAGGCGGGUAGCUGGGCCGACACUGACGCUGAGGCGCGAAAGCCAGGGGAGCGAACGGG